rnacentral:rRNA from 1 species
GAGUUUGAUCAUGGCUCAGAGCGAACGCUGGCGGCAGGCUUAACACAUGCAAGUCGAACGGGUAUCUUCGGAUACUAGUGGCAGACGGGUGAGUAACACGUGGGAACGUACCUUUCGGUUCGGAAUAAUACAGGGAAACUUGUACUAAUACCGGAUACGCCCUUCGGGGGAAAGAUUUAUCGCCGAUAGAUCGGCCCGCGUCUGAUUAGCUAGUUGGUGAGGUAAUGGCUCACCAAGGCGACGAUCAGUAGCUGGUCUGAGAGGAUGAUCAGCCACACUGGGACUGAGACACGGCCCAGACUCCUACGGGAGGCAGCAGUGGGGAAUAUUGGACAAUGGGCGAAAGCCUGAUCCAGCCAUGCCGCGUGUGUGAUGAAGGCCUUAGGGUUGUAAAGCACUUUUGUCCGGGAAGAUAAUGACUGUACCGGAAGAAUAAGCCCCGGCUAACUUCGUGCCAGCAGCCGCGGUAAUACGAAGGGGGCUAGCGUUGCUCGGAAUCACUGGGCGUAAAGGGCGCGUAGGCGGACUCUUAAGUCGGGGGUGAAAGCCCAGGGCUCAACCCUGGA